GGGGGAUAAAUUAAUAAAGUAUAAAUAAUAAAAAAAUUUUUAAUAUUAAAAUAUUUUAAUGGGGGUUAAAGUAUAUUUAAUAGAAAAAAUAAAAAAAAUUUAUAGAAAAUUAGUAUUGUAAAAGAAAUUUGAAAUAUAUUGAAAAUAAAUUUAUUUAAAAGUAAAUUUAAUUUAUUGUAUCUUGUGUAUCAGAGUUUAUUAAUAAUAAUUUUUAUAUAUAAAAUUUUCUCGAAUUUAAAAGAGAUAAUUAAUUAUUAAAGUUAAUGUUGUAUAAUUAUUUUAAAUAAUUAAUUAGAAAUGAGAUGUUAAUCGUUUUUAAAUAUAUCUAGUUUUUUUAGAAAAAAAUUUAAUUUUAAAUUUUAAAAAGAAUAUAAUUUUAAUUAAUUAAAAUUAUAUUUUUAAAAUUAAAUAUUUUAAGGGAUAAGCUUUAAAAUAAAUUUUUAUAAUAAAUUUUAACAAUAAUUAAAAUUUUUAAAAUUUAUAUUGUUUAUAAAUUAUAAUUUUUUAUAAAUAAUUUUAAUUAAAUUAAAAUUUUAAAUUUAUUUAAUUUUUUAUUAAAAAAUAUUUUUUAAUAAUUAAAAUUUAGAUAUAAUGAUAAAAUUAGUAUAUAAAUGAAUAAAUAAUAUGGUUUAUUAUUUGAUAAUUUAAUAAAAGGAAUUCGGCAAAAAUUAUAUUCACUUGUUUAUCAAAAACAUGUCUUUUUGGUUAAUAAUUUAAAGUCUAAUCUGCCCACUGAUAAUAUAUUAAAGGGCUGCAGUAUUUUGACUGUACAAAGGUAGCAUAAUCAUUAGUCUCUUAAUUGGUGACUUGUAUGAAAGAUUUGAUGAGAUAUAUACUGUCUCUUUUUAAUUUAUAAAAUUUAAUUUUUUAGUUAAAAAGCUAAAAUAUAUUUAAAAGACGAGAAGACCCUAUAGAGUUUUAUAUUUAUAUAAAUUAAAAUUUUUUAUAAGCUUUAAAAUUUUAAUUUAUAUAAAUAUUUUGUUGGGGUGAUAAAAAAAUUAAAAUAACUUUUUUUAUAAUUUUACAUUAAUAAAUGAAUAAAUGAUCCGUAAUUUAUGAUUAUAAGAUAAAAUUACCUUAGGGAUAACAGCGUAAUUUUUUUUUUUAGUUCAAAUAAGAAAAAAAGUUUGCGACCUCGAUGUUGGAUUAAGAUAAAAUUUAAAUGCAAAAGUUUAAAAUUUUUGAUCUGUUCGAUCAUUAAAAUCUUACAUGAUCUGAGUUCAAACCGGUGUAAGCCAGGUUGGUUUCUAUCUUUAGAUUAAUAAAAUAUUUUAGUACGAAAGGAUCAAAUAUUUAAAAUAGUUUUAUUUAAAAGAAUUUUAAUAAUAGUAUAUUUUUAAAUAUG
rnacentral:rRNA from 1 species